rnacentral:rRNA from 1 species
UGAGGAAUAUUGGUCAAUGGGCGAGAGCCUGAACCAGCCAAGUAGCGUGCAGGAAGACGGCCCUAUGGGUUGUAAACUGCUUUUAUGUGGGGAUAAAGUGCGUGACGUGUCAUGCAUUGCAGGUACCACAUGAAUAAGGACCGGCUAAUUCCGUGCCAGCAGCCGCGGUAAUACGGAAGGUCCGGGCGUUAUCCGGAUUUAUUGGGUUUAAAGGGAGCGUAGGCUGUCUAUUAAGCGUGUUGUGAAAUAUACCGGCUCAACCGGUGGCUUGCAGCGCGAACUGGUCGACUUGAGUAUGCAGGAAGUAGGCGGAAUUCAUGGUGUAGCGAUGAAAUGCUUAGAUAUCAUGACGAACUCCGAUUGCGCAGGCAGCUUACUGUAGCAUAACUGACGCUGAUGCUCGAAAGUGCGGGUAUCAAACAGG